rnacentral:misc_RNA from 1 species
GAUGAAGAACGCAGCGAAAUGCGAUAAGUAAUGUGAAUUGCAGAAUUCAGUGAAUCAUCGAGUCUUUGAACGCACAUUGCGCCCCCUGGUAUUCCGGGGGGCAUGCCUGUCCGAGCGUCAUUGCUGCCCUCAAGCACGGCUUGUGUGUUGGGCCCCCGUCCCCGGUUUCCCCCGGGGACGGGCCCGAAAGGCAGCGGCGGCACCGCGUCCGGUCCUCGAGCGUAUGGGGCUUUGUCACCCGCUCUGUAGGCCCGGCCGGCGCCAGCCGACACCCAACUUUAUUUCUAAGGUUGACCUCGGAUCAGGUAGGGAUACCCGCUGAACUAAAGCAUAUCAAUAAGCGGAGGA